rfam:Hylemonella gracilis ATCC 19624 Contig88, whole genome shotgun sequence.
UCGCAUCCGCUAACCGGUUCAGCCGUGCCGCGGAAGGUUUCUUAAACCAGUCAAAGUUUCCUGCAGGGAAACGGAGGUCAGCG